rnacentral:rRNA from 1 species
CCCUUAGAGUUUGAUCAUGGCUCAGAACGUACGCUGGCGGCACGCCUAAUACAUGCAAGUCGAACGAAGUAGCAAUACUUAGUGGCAGACGGGUGAGUAACAUGUAGGUAUCUACCCUUUGGUCUGGAAUAACACGAGGAAACUUGUGCUAAUACCGGAUAAGUCUUUACGGAGAAAGCUUUAUGCACCAUUGGAUGAGCCUGCACUUGAUUAGUUUGUUGGUGGGGUAAUGGCCUACCAAGACAAUGAUCAAUAGCUGAUUUGAGAGGAUGAUCAGCCACAUUGGGACUGAGACACGGCCCAAACUCCUACGGGAGGCAGCAGUAGGGAAUCUUGCACAAUGGAGGAAACUCUGAUGCAGCGAUGCCGCGUGAGUGAAGAAGGCCUUUGGGUUGUAAAGCUCUUUCGUCGGGGAAGAAAAUGACUGUACCCGAAUA